GACGAACCGUGCGAACGUUGUUCGGAAUCACUGGGCUUAAAGGGCGCGUAGGCGGGUCUUCAAGUUUGGGGUGAAAUCCUCCGGCUCAACCGGAGAACUGCCUCGAAUACUGAAGGUCUCGAGGGGGAUAGGGGCAUGCGGAACUACGGGUGGAGCGGCGAAAUGCGUUGAUAUCCGUAGGAACUCCGGUGGCGAAGGCGGCGUGCUGGAUCCCUUCUGACGCUGAGGCGCGAAAGCCAGGGGAGCAAACGGG
rnacentral:rRNA from 1 species